GGAGAGAGAUGGGUCCUGGUGGGCUCCGCGGUCUUCAAAACCGUUGUCGGCGAGUGAUCCUUGCCGGGGUUGGUUCGAUUCCUUCCCUCUCCGCCA
rnacentral:tRNA from 1 species